rnacentral:rRNA from 1 species
AUUGAACGCUGGCGGGAGGCUUUACACAUGCAAGUCGAACGAGUGGCGGACGGGUGAGUACUAUAUCGGAACGUGCCCAGUAGCGGGGGAUAACUACUCGAAAGAUUGGCUAAUACCGCAUACUAUUGGAUCAGCCCAUAUCGGAUUAGCUAGUUGGUGGGGUAACGGCUCACCAAGGCAACGAUCCGUAGCUGGUUUGAGAGGAUGCCCAGCCACACGGGGACUGAGACACGGCCCAGACUCCUACGGGAGGCAGCAGUGGGGAAUAUUGGACAAUGGGGGAAACCCUGAUCCAGCCAUCCCGCGUGUAUGAGAAGGCCUUCGGGUUGUAAAGUACUUUUGGCAGAGAAGCGGUAUCCGCAGAAUAAGCACCGGCUAACUACGUGCCAGCAGCCGCGGUAAUAC